GUCGCAAGACCAAAGAGGGGGACCUUCGGGCCUCUUGCCAUCGGAUGUGCCCAGAUGGGAUUAGCUAGUAGGUGGGGUAACGGCUCACCUAGGCGACGAUCCCUAGCUGGUCUGAGAGGAUGACCAGCCACACUGGAACUGAGACACGGUCCAGACUCCUACGGGAGGCAGCAGUGGGGAAUAUUGCACAAUGGGCGCAAGCCUGAUGCAGCCAUGCCGCGUGUAUGAAGAAGGCCUUCGGGUUGUAAAGUACUUUCAGCGGGGAGGAAGGGAGUAAAGUUAAUACCUUUACUCAUUGACGUUACCCGCAGAAGAAGCACCGGCUAACUCCGUGCCAGCAGCCGCGGUAAUACGGAGGGUGCAAGCGUUAAUCGGAAUUACUGGGCGUAAAGCGCACGCAGGCGGUUUGUUAAGUCAGAUGUGAAAUCCCCGGGCUCAACCUGGGAACUGCAUCUGAUACU
rnacentral:rRNA from 1 species